AGGCUUUGAUCCUGGCUCAGGAUGAACGCUGGCGGCGUGCUUAACACAUGCAAGUCGAACGAACCUACGGGUUAGUGGCGGACGGGUGAGUAACGCGUGAGAAUCUGCCCUCAGGAGGGGGAUAACGGCUGGAAACGGCCGCUAAUACCCCAUAUGCCGAGAGGUGAAAUGAGUUAUCGCCUGAGGAUGAGCUCGCGUCUGAUUAGCUGGUUGGUGGGGUAAGAGCCUACCAAGGCAUCGAUCAGUAGCUGGUCUGAGAGGAUGAUCAGCCACACUGGGACUGAGACACGGCCCAGACUCCUACGGGAGGCAGCAGUGGGGAAUUUUCCGCAAUGGGCGAAAGCCUGACGGAGCAACGCCGCGUGAGGGAUGAAGGCCUCUGGGCUGUAAACCUCUUUUAUCAAGGAAGAAGAUCUGACGGUACUUGAUGAAUAAGCCACGGGUAUAUCCGUGCAU
rnacentral:rRNA from 1 species